GAUGAACGCUGGCGGCGUGCCUAAUACAUGCAAGUCGAGCGAACAGACGAGGAGCUUGCUCCUCUGAUGUUAGCGGCGGACGGGUGAGUAACACGUGGAUAACCUACCUAUAAGACUGGGAUAACUUCGGGAAACCGGAGCUAAUACCGGAUAACAUGUUGAACCGCAUGGUUCAACAGUGAAAGACGGUCUUGCUGUCACUUAUAGAUGGAUCCGCGCCGCAUUAGCUAGUUGGUAAGGUAACGGCUUACCAAGGCAACGAUGCGUAGCCGACCUGAGAGGGUGAUCGGCCACACUGGAACUGAGACUCGGUCCAGACUCCUACGGGAGGCAGCAGUAGGGAAUCUUCCGCAAUGGGCGAAAGCCUGACGGAGCAACGCCGCGUGAGUGAAGAAGGUCUUCGGAUCGUAAAACUCUGUUAUUAGGGAAGAACAAAUGUGUAAGUAACUAUGCACGUCUUGACGGUACCUAAUCAGAAAGCCACGGCUAACUACGUG
rnacentral:rRNA from 1 species